CCCAGACUCCUACGGGAGGCAGCAGUGGGGAAUAUUGCACAAUGGGGGAAACCCUGAUGCAGCGACGCCGCGUGAGUGAAGAAGUAUUUCGGUAUGUAAAGCCCUAUCAGCAGGGAAGAAAAACCGACCAUAGGGUCGCUAGACGGUACCUGAUUAAGAAGCCCCGGCUAACUACGUGCCAGCAGCCGCGGUAAUACGUAGGGGGCAAGCGUUAUCCGGAUUUACUGGGUGUAAAGGGAGCGUAGACGGCAGCGCAAGUCUGAAGUGAAAUGCCGGGGCUUAACCCCGGAACUGCUUUGGAAACUGAGCAGCUAGAGUGCAGGAGAGGUAAGUGGAAUUCCUAGUGUAGCGGUGAAAUGCGUAGAUAUUAGGAGGAACACCAGUGGCGAAGGCGGCUUACUGGACUGUACCUGACGCUGAGGCGCGAAAGCGUGGGUAGCGAACGGGAUUAGAUACCCUAGUA
rnacentral:rRNA from 1 species